CGCUUAUACACAGCAAAAUCACCAGUGUUAAAUUUUCAGGGAUGGUGUUAAAUACACAGUGUUGAUGUUGUUUUAACACUAUCUGGUAAUAAAAUAACACUGCCAUUGCUAGGCCAGUGUUACAUUCACAACAGUGUCAGUGUUAAACAAGGGUGUUAUCAGAUUUCACUCUGAGCGGUGUAAAUCAAGCCACGCCUCCACUAAACAUAUCCUGUCAGGGAUUUUACCGCCAUUUUCUUUCACAGGAGGACUGAAGAGAUCAGAUGCUAGUUUGGUGAAAGUUCACACUGAGUGCUUCAAAUCAUUCAGACGAGAUGCUGUUUUUAGGGCAGUUUAUUAAAGAAGACCUGACAUGGAUGACUUCCAAUGAGAAACGACUGCUAAUACUUAUAUAAAUUCAUUACAGAAGGACCCUACCAGACUAUAUUUGAAUACGGCAUACCCAUGAAUUCUUGAACUGUUAUUCCUUAACCCAGUUUGGAGGAUAAGAGCUUACCAA